CCCGCAGGGGCGGCCUAAAAAUGCAAGUCGAGCGGUAGCACAGGAGAGCUUGCUCUCUGGGUGACGAGCGGCGGACGGGUGAGUAAUGUCUGGGAAACUGCCUGAUGGCGGGGGAUAACUACUGGAAACGGUAGCUAAUACCGCAUAAUGUCUUCGGACCAAAGAGGGGGACCUUCGGGCCUCUUGCCAUCAGAUGUGCCCAGAUGGGAUUAGCUAGUAGGUGAGGUAAUGGCUCACCUAGGCGACGAUCCCUAGCUGGUCUGAGAGGAUGACCAGCCACACUGGAACUGAGACACGGUCCAGACUCCUACGGGAGGCAGCAGUGGGGAAUAUUGCACGAUGGGCGCAAGCCUGAUGCAGCCAUGCCGCGUGUGUGAAGAAGGCCUUCGGGAUGUAUAGCACUUUCAU
rnacentral:rRNA from 1 species